GUUCAGGGACAGUGCCUGGCGGGUAGUUUAACUGGGGCGGUUGCCUCCUAAAAUGUAACGGAGGCGCCCAAAGGUUCCCUCAACCUGGACGGCAAUCAGGUGUUGAGUGUAAGUGCACAAGGGAGCUUGACUGCGAGACGUACAUGUCGAGCAGGGACGAAAGUCGGGACUAGUGAUCCGGCACCUCUGAGUGGAAGGGGUGUCGCUCAACGGAUAAAAGGUACCCCGGGGAUAACAGGCUGAUCUUCCCCAAGAGUCCAUAUCGACGGGAUGGUUUGGCACCUCGAUGUCGGCUCGUCGCAUCCUGGGGCUGGAGCAGGUCCCAAGGGUUGGGCUGUUCGCCCAUUAAAGCGGCACGCGAGCUGGGUUUAGAACGUCGUGAGACAGUUCGGUCUCUAUCCGCCGCGCGCGUCAGAAACUUGAGGAAACCUGUCCCUAGUACGAGAGGACCGGGACGGACGAACCUCUGGUGUACCA
rnacentral:rRNA from 1 species